GAUGAACGCUGGCGGCGUGCCUAAUACAUGCAAGUCGAGCGAACGGACGAGAAGCUUGCUUCUCUGAUGUUAGCUGCGGACGGGUGAGUAACACGUGGAUAACCUACCUAUAAGACUGGGAUAACUUCGGGAAACCGGAGCUAAUACCGGAUAAUAUUUUGAACCGCAUGGUUCAAAAGUGAAAGACGGUCUUGCUGUCACUUAUAGAUGGAUCCGCGCUGCAUUAGCUAGUUGGUAAGGUAACGGCUUACCAAGGCAACGAUGCAUAGCCGACCUGAGAGGGUGAUCGGCCACACUGGAACUGAGAAACGGUCCAGACUCCUACGGGAGGCAGCAGUAGGGAAUCUUCAGCAAUGGGCGAAAGCCUGACGGGGCAACGCCGCGUGAGUGAUGAAGGUCUUCGGAUCGUAAAACUCUGUUAUUAGGGAAGAACAUAUGUGUAAGUAACUGUGCACAUCUUGACGGUACCUAAUCAGAAAGCCACGGCUAACUACGUG
rnacentral:rRNA from 1 species